UCCACGCCCUAAACGAUGAACACUAGUCAUCGGGAUGCUAGUCAUCUCGGUGAUGCACUUAACAGAUUAAGUGUUCCGCCUGGGGAGUACGGUCGCAAGAUUAAAACUCAAAGGAGUAGACGGGGACCCGCACAAGUGGUGGAGCAUUGGUUUAAUUCGAAAAUACGCGAAGAACCUUACCUAGCCUUGACAUUGAUUGAAUUCCGCAGAGAUGUGGAAGUGCCCUUCGGGGAACAUGAAAACAGGUGCUGCACGGCUGUCGUCAGCUCGUGUCGUGAGAUGUUGGGUUAAGUCCCG
rnacentral:rRNA from 1 species